GGAAAAAUAAUGAGCUUUUGUGUUCCAACCAAAACUAUUCCAUCUGAAAAAUCACCUUCCAAAUAGUCAAUAUGUUGCUUUAUUCACCAUAACCAUUUAUUGAUUGAAGAUUAAGAUUUGAUGUUGGUCAUUGCAAUACUUUGCUUUUAUAUAUUACAGGGAUCCCACGCAGAUGACAUUCAUGAAGAAAGAAAUUGAAUAAAACGCUGGCAGAUUUACAUUAUCUAGAAAUUGAAUUAAACAAAAUUCAUGGUCCUGGAUCAGAAAAAAGUCGGCAUCGUAAGAUGGUCACAGCACAGGUCAAUCGACUCCAGUAACUUCGUCAAGCACACCAGCAACCUCCAGUUUUCAGGGAGAAAUUAUGCAGGAAAUAGAUGCAUCUAAAGAGAGGCUUGACAGUCACCAAUCAGAAAGUAAAGUUGGUAGCCAAUCAGAAGAUGAAACCUCGCAGCGAGAAAUCAGACGAGGGCGCUUUAGUGUUGUGGUGCGACCAGAUUCCCUCAUUCAAAACAAUUAUGGUUCAGACCAGAGCAGCCAAGCUAAUACCAGGGAUGACACUACGACAAGUAAUAGUGAAAGCAAUAAUCAGCAUGAACCUGGGUCAAGUUUUGGCCAUCCUAGUCCUAAACAGUCGUACGAAGAAUUAUUAUCAAAUCUUCUUCACAGACAAAGGCUGGAGCUUGAAUCAUUGAGGCGCAAGCAUCAAGAGGAAAUCGAGGCGUUAUCACAGCAAAUGGAAUCGGAUUACCCAAUGUCUCCUCCUUCGCAGUAUGCCUCACGGCCAAUGGCUUUACUGUAUCAAACGCUUACUCCUAUUUCUGUGCCAUCUUCCUCAAGAAGUGGACAAGGUAGCCUGGAGGGCUACAGCACUGCACCCCAAAGUCCCACUGAAUCUUGUCCCAAUUCUGCGAAUGAUUUUGCAACGCAUACAUCAAGUCAGCCAAGUGUAAUUCAGUAUGCGCGCGGCUCAGCAUUCUAUCUACAGCCUGCGGCACUCCGCUUGUUUAUGACUCUCCAUCCCACUGUGCCCCUUCAGAUUUGCCUGAGCAUGAGCCAAGGUAAUGAUAUGUCACAAGUUCCAGCCCACGUUUAUGCUUUUUUUUUAUUUAUUUAUUUAUUUAUUUAUUUUAGUAUUUAA
rnacentral:lncRNA from 1 species